GACAUGGAAUCAACCUAAAUGUCCUUUAAUGGUGGACUGGAUAAAGAAAAUGUGGUAUAUAUACACCAUGGGAUACUAUGCAGCCAUAAAAAAGAACAAGAUCAUGUCUUUUGCAGGAACAUAGAUGGAGCUGGAGGCUGUUUUUUCUUAGCAAACUAAUGCAGGAAUAGAAAAACAAAUACCACAUGUUCUCACUUACAAGCUGGAGAUGACAUGGACAUGGACACAAAGAGGGGAACAACAGACACUGGAGCCUAUUGAAGGUGGAUGAUGGAAGGAGGGAGAAGAUCAGGAAAAAUAGUA
rnacentral:lncRNA from 1 species